GUCUUGAUAGUAUAAACAUAUUACUCUGGUCUUGUAAACCUGAAAUGAAGAUCUUCUCUUCUCAAGACA
rnacentral:tRNA from 1 species